rnacentral:rRNA from 1 species
GGCGGACGGGUGAGUAACACAUGGGUGACCUGGCCCGAAGUGAGGGAUACCGGCGAGAAAUUGCCGACAAGCCCGCAUAGGCUCUUUUCUGUGGAGAGGGGAGAGCAAAGCUCUUUUUGAAAGGGUGCUUUGGGAUGGGCCUGUGGCCGAUUAGCUGGUUGGUGGGGUAAGAGCCUACCAAGGCGACGAUCGGUAGCUGGUCUGAGAGGACGAUCAGCCACACUGGGAUUGAGAACGGCCCAGACUCCUACGGGGGGCAGCAGUGAGGAAUUUUCGGCAAUGGGGGCGACCCUGACCGAGCAACGCCGCGUGCAGGAGGACGCUUUUCGGAGUGUAAACUGCUUUUCUCUGGGACGAGGAACGACGGUACCAGAGGAAGAAGCCCCGGCUAACUACGUGCCAGCAGCCGGGG